CGGAGAACUGCGGUGAGGCUCGUGUUGUUGGGACAAGUCUAAAAUGAGCUCCCAAAGACAAAGUGACCGCUUAUCCGCUUGGAUUUCAAGCUGUGUGCACAGCCCCGCGCUCACCCCUUCGGCUGGACACGGGCAGGAAGAGGAAUGCGACCAGGCAGCUGCUGGCUUGCCCAGGCUGGAGAGCAAAGCCCUGCUCAGGCCCUUCUCCCAACCCAGGAAUAGACACCUAGACCCAGGCAAAGCCUCUGCUGCCCACAGAACCUUGGAGCAUCCUGCCAGCCACGGACACAUCCCAGGUCAGCCAUCGCCAAAGUGGGGCAAGAUGCCCCCCAAACUGUGACUGGAAUAGGUACAG